UACGGAGGGGGCUAGCGUUGUUCGGAAUUACUGGGCGUAAAGGGCUCGUAGGCGGCCCUCUCAGUCGGAUGUGAAAUCCCCAGGCUUAACCUGGGAACGGCAUCCGAUACUGGAGGGCUUGAAUUCGGGAGAGGGAUGCAGAAUUCCAGGUGUAGCGGUGAAAUGCGUAGAUAUCUGGAGGAAUACCGGUGGCGAAGGCGGCAUCCUGGACCGAGAUUGACGCUGAGGAGCGAAAGCUAGGGGAGCAAACGGG
rnacentral:rRNA from 1 species